rnacentral:piRNA from 1 species
UAUACAGAUUAAAGAGCUUGCCGAGUCGG